rnacentral:rRNA from 1 species
GAUGAACGCUGGCGGCGUGCCUAAUACAUGCAAGUCGAGCGAACGGACGAGAAGCUUGCUUUUCUGAUGUUAGCGGCGGACGGGUGAGUAACACGUGGAUAACCUACCUAUAAGACUGGGAUAACUUCGGGAAACCGGAGCUAAUACCGGAUAAUAUUUUGAACCGCAUGGUUCAAAAGUGAAAGACGGUCUUGCUGUCACUUAUAGAUGGAUCCGCGCUGCAUUAGCUAGUUGGUAAGGUAACGGCUUACCAAGGCAACGAUGCAUAGCCGACCUGAGAGGGUGAUCGGCCACACUGGAGCUGAGACACGGUCCAGACUCCUACGGGAGGCAGCAGUGGGGAAUCUUCCGCAAUGGGCGAAAGCCUGACGGAGCAACGCCGCGUGGGUGAUGAAGGUCUUCGGAUCGUAAAACUCUGUUAUUAGGGAAGAACAUAUGUGUAAGUAACUGUGCACAUCUUGACGGUACCUAAUCAGAAAGCCACGGCUAACUACGUG